rnacentral:rRNA from 1 species
AGAUACCCUAUUAUUUUUAUUGUAAAGUUAGUGAACUAAAGUAUUAAUAGAUAAAUCUUUAAACUUAAAGAAUUUGGCGGUAUUAUAGUCUAUUUAGAGGAAUCUGUUAUGUGAUCGAUAGUCCACGUUGAACCUUACUUAUACUAUUUCUUGUAUAUCGCUGUUUAUGAAUAUAUUAAAAGAUUAUCUUCUGAAUAUUAAAAUAAUUAAUAUUUCAAGUCAAGGUGCAGUAAUGUAUAAGUUUAAUAAUGGAUUACAAUAAAAGUUAUUUAAAAUGGAUAAAAAUUGAAAUAUAAUUUGAAGGUGGAUUUAAAUGUAAUUUUAAAAAGAUUAUUAAAAUGAUUUAAAGCUCUAUAAUAUGUACACAUCGC